AGAUCUUGUUGCAUUCAUUGGAUGUACACGUGAUUCAUUAGGUAUUUGUGCUAGCAGUUCGGGUGGGAUAGCUGGACUUCUCCUUUGGAAAGUAUAAUAUAUAAGUGUGCAAACUAGUAUUUGAAAUAUUAUUAGGAAAAUGGUGGAAAUUGGGAAAAUUGCUCAACCAGCAGCAAUGGAAAGAGGAUACCUGGCUCUAUUGAUGAUACCACACAUCAGUUUAGGUCAAUGGGUGCAAGAUACAUAUUAGUAGUGGAGAAAGAUGCUGUGUUUACUUAUCUUUGCGGUCAACGUAUUUGGGACAGUCUUCCCUGCAUUUUAAUGACUGGGUGUGGCUAUCCAUCGCUGAGCGUUCGUGCACUAUUAAAGCAACUCCAGACCCAGUUCGA